rnacentral:rRNA from 1 species
CAGCCGCCACGGUAAUACGGAGGGUGCAAGCGUUAAUCGGAAUUACUGGGCGUAAAGCGUGCGUAGGUGGUGGUUUAAGUCCGUUGUGAAAGCCCUGGGCUCAACCUGGGAAUUGCAGUGGAUACUGGGUCACUAGAGUGUGGUAGAGGAUAGUGGAAUUUCCGGUGUAGCAGUGAAAUGCGUAGAGAUCGGAAGGAACAUCUGUGGCGAAGGCGACUAUCUGGGCCAACACUGACACUGAGGCACGAAAGCGUGGGGAGCAAACAGGAUUAGAUACCCGCGUAGUCCCUGUCUCUUAUAC